CCUACGGGAGGCUGCAGUGAGGAAUAUUGCACAAUGGGGGAAACCCUGAUGCAGCAACGCCGCGUGGAGGAUGACAGCCCUUGGGUUGUAAACUCCUUUUCUGUGGGACGAGAGAGGACGGUACCACAGGAAUAAGUCACGGCUAACUACGUGCCAGCAGCCGCGGUAAUACGUAGGUGGCGAGCGUUAUCCGGAAUUACUGGGCGUAAAGCGUACGCAGGCGGCUUGUUUAGUCUGACGUGAAAUCUCCCGGCUUAACUGGGAGAGGUCGUUGGAAACUGACAAGCUUGAGGCAAUGAGAGGGGCAUGGAAUUCCCGGUGUAGUGGUGGAAUGCGUAGAUAUCGGGAGGAACACCAGAGGCGAAAGCGAUGCCCUGGCAUUGACCUGACGCUCAUGUACGAAAGCGUGGGGAGCAAACGGGAUUAGAUACCCUAGUAGUC
rnacentral:rRNA from 1 species